GAUCCCCUUCGGGGGUGACGCUUGUGGAAUGAGCGGCGGACGGGUGAGUAACACGUGGGCAACCUGCCUGUAAGACUGGGAUAACCCCGGGAAACCGGGGCUAAUACCGGAUAAUACUUUCUUUUGCAUAAAGGAAAGUUGAAAGGCGGCUUCGGCUGUCACUUACAGAUGGGCCCGCGGCGCAUUAGCUAGUUGGUGAGGUAACGGCUCACCAAGGCGACGAUGCGUAGCCGACCUGAGAGGGUGAUCGGCCACACUGGGACUGAGACACGGCCCAGACUCCUACGGGAGGCAGCAGUAGGGAAUCUUCCGCAAUGGACGAAAGUCUGACGGAGCAACGCCGCGUGAGUGAUGAAGGUUUUCGGAUCGUAAAACUCUGUUGUUAGGGAAGAACAAGUUGGGUAGUAACUGACCCAACCUUGACGGUACCUAACCAGAAAGCCACGGCUAACUACGUGCCAGCAGCCGCGGUAAUACGUAGGUGGCAAGCGUUGUCCGGAAUUAUUGGGCGUAAAGCGCUCGCAGGCGGUCCUUUAAGUCUGAUGUGAAAUCUCGCGGCUCAACCGCGAACGGUCAUUGGAAACUGGAGGACUUGAGUACAGAAGAGGAGAGUGGAAUUCCACGUGUAGCGGUGAAAUGCGUAGAGAUGUGGAGGAACACCAGUGGCGAAGGCGACUCUCUGGUCUGUAACUGACGCUGAGGAGCGAAAGCGUGGGGAGCGAACAGGAUUAGAUACCCUGGUAGUCCACGCCGUAAACGAUGAGUGCUAGGUGUUAGGGGGUUUCCGCCCCUUAGUGCUGAAGUUAACGCAUUA
rnacentral:rRNA from 1 species